AUUGAACGCUGGCGGCAUGCCUUACACAUGCAAGUCGAACGGCAGCACGGGGGCAACCCUGGUGGCGAGUGGCGAACGGGUGAGCAACAUAUCGGAACAUACCCUAGAGUGGGGGACAACGUAGCGAAAGUUACGCUAAUACCACAUACGAUCUAAGGAUGAAAGUGGGGGAUCUUCGGACCUCAUGCUCAUGGAGUGGCCGAUAUCUGAUUAGCUAGUUGGUGAGGUAAAGGCUCACCAAGGCGACGAUCAGUAGCUGGUUUGAGAGAACGACCAGCCACACUGGAACUGAGACACGGUCCAGACUCCUACGGAGGCAGCAGUGGGGAAUUUUGGACAAUGGGGGCAACCCUGAUCCAGCAAUGCCGCGUGAGUGAAGAAGGCCU
rnacentral:rRNA from 1 species